rnacentral:rRNA from 1 species
UACGUAGGGGGCAAGCGUUGUCCGGAUUUAUUGGGCGUAAAGCGCGUGUAGGCGGCCAGAUAGGUCUGCUGUGAAAACUCGAGGCUCAACCUCGAGACGUCGGCGGAAACCAUCCAGCUAGAGUCCGGAAGAGGAGAGUGGAAUUCCUGGUGUAGCGGUGAAAUGCGCAGAUAUCAGGAAGAACACCCGUGGCGAAAGCGGCUCUCUGGGACGGUACUGACGCUGAGACGCGAAAGCGUGGGGAGCGAACAGG